rnacentral:rRNA from 1 species
UGGGGAAUACUGGACAAUGGGCGAAAGCCUGAUCCAGCCAUGCCGCGUGUGUGAAGAAGGCCUUUUGGUUGUAAAGCACUUUAAGUGGGGAGGAAAAGCUUGUGGUUAAUACCCAUAAGCCCUGACGUUACCCACAGAAUAAGCACCGGCUAACUCUGUGCCAGCAGCCGCGGUAAUACAGAGGGUGCAAGCGUUAAUCGGAAUUACUGGGCGUAAAGCGCGCGUAGGUGGUUAUUUAAGUCAGAUGUGAAAGCCCCGGGCUUAACCUGGGAACUGCAUCUGAUACUGGAUAACUAGAGUAGGUGAGAGGGGAGUAGAAUUCCAGGUGUAGCGGUGAAAUGCGUAGAGAUCUGGAGGAAUACCGAUGGCGAAGGCAGCUCCCUGGCAUCAUACUGACACUGAGGUGCGAAAGCGUGGGUAGCAAACAGGAUUAGAUACCCUGGUAGUCCACGCCGUAAACGAUGUCUACCAGUCGUUGGGUCUUUUAAAGACUUAGUGACGCAGUUAACGCAAUAAGUAGACCGCCUGGGGAGUACGGCCGCAAGGUUA